CCUGGCUGUGGGGUCAGCUGCACAGGCCAGGAGCUCGAAGAUGGUGGCUGGCAGAAAGUGCAGUCCAAAGUACUCUGUUUUGUUUUGAUUGCGUUUUAAAAUGGGACAAAUAACAGCAUGUGUGUUUGCUGAUGGGAAAAAUUCAGGAGAAAAACAGUGAAGUUGAGGUGAGCCUCACAGGCUCAGGGGGGAAGACAGAGGAUCCCAAAGAUAACGUCCACUACAAACUCAAUUGCAUCCGCCCUGGGCCCUACGUUGAAGCCCUAAUCCCCACGGUGACUGCUUUUGGAGAUGGACCGUUCAGCACAUGAUGGAGGGACUGAGCUGCCCACAUCCUGGCCCUCCUGCUGGACUUUUAUUUUAAAGAAAAAUAAAACUAAUGUUAACUUCUAAGCAGCUUCCAAGCUCUGCGGCCCCGGAGAGGGUCAGCGAGGGGCCUCCACUGUCUGAGUCUGCUCCUGGCAACCGGCUCUCUGCACUCAGAGGCCCGGUCCCGGCAGCUGCCACGUUGCUCAGAAGUUCUGGCAGGGGGAGCCUGAAACCCCUGUCUGCUGGCGACACUCCCAGAGCUGCAGGAAAUCUCUACAUUUUAUUUUUUUUCUUAACAGACAAAAGUAUUUGACUCCAGAAUGAUUUCCAGGAAUUACAGUAUGAAAACUUCGUCUUUGAGAUUUUUAUUCUCUUCUUAAAAAAAUAAAAAUGAAAUCAAAGCAGAAGACACUGGUUGAGGAGACAGCACACCAGCACGUUCCACUUCACAACAAAACCUGCGU